UUACUAAAUAAAAACCUAAUUCAAUAAUCGUUUUUAAUGAAACUGAAAGCUUAAUGGAAAAGUAAUCACAAAAUAGGCAAAUGAAUGCCCCAGUUGUUUCUAUUGCAUCCAGGUAAACAGGUCACCCAAGGAUGGAACAGAGAGAUUACUC